rnacentral:rRNA from 1 species
AAUAAAAGCCAUAUCACCCUGUACUCCAAGACUGGUUGCCCACUGAAGCUAAGCAGGGCUGAGCCUGGUCAGUACCUGGAUGGGAGACCUCCUGGGAAAACUAGGUUGCUGCUGGAA